rnacentral:rRNA from 1 species
UACGUAGGGUGCGAGCGUUGUCCGGAUUUAUUGGGCGUAAAGAGCUCGUAGGCGGUUUGUCGCGUCGGGAGUGAAAUCCACUGGCUUAACUGGUGGCUUGCUUUCGAUACGGGCAGACUGGAGGUAUGCAGGGGAGAACGGAAUUCCUGGUGUAGCGGUGAAAUGCGCAGAUAUCAGGAGGAACACCGGUGGCGAAGGCGGUUCUCUGGGCAUGUCCUGACGCUGAGGAGCGAAAGUGUGGGGAGCGAACAGG